rnacentral:rRNA from 1 species
GAUGAACGCUAGCGGGAGGCCUAAUACAUGCAAGUCGAGCGGUAGAGUGACUUCGGUUGCUUGAGAGCGGCGCACGGGUGAGUAACGCGUACAUGACCUACCUUUAAGACUGGGAUAGCCCUGGGAAACUGGGAUUAAUACCGGAUGUGAUAAUACGUAUAGAGAUGUAUUAUUAAAGUUGAGGCGCUUAGAGAUGGAUGUGCGUCUGAUUAGCUAGUUGGUAGGGUAACGGCCUACCAAGGCUACGAUCAGUAGGGGGCGUGAGAGCGUGACCCCCCACACGGGUACUGAGACACGGACCCGACUCCUACGGGAGGCAGCAGUAAGGAAUAUUGGUCAAUGGAGGGAACUCUGAACCAGCCAUCCCGCGUGCAGGAUGAAGGGGCUCUGCCCUGUAAACUGCUUUUGAAUGGGACGAAAAAGCCUCACUUGUGAGGAACUGACGGUACCAUUAGAAUAAGCACCGGCUAAACUCCGUGCCAGCAGCCGCGGUAAU